rnacentral:rRNA from 1 species
GACGUAGGGCGCGAGCGUUGUCCGGAUUUAUUGGGCGUAAAGAGCUCGUAGGCGGCUUGUCGCGUCGAAUGUGAAAACCCACGGCUCAACUGUGGGCUUGCAUUCGAUACGGGCAGGCUAGAGUUCGGUAGGGGAGACUGGAAUUCCUGGUGUAGCGGUGAAAUGCGCAGAUAUCAGGAGGAACACCGAGUGGCGAAGGCAUCCCGUGGCCUG